rnacentral:rRNA from 1 species
UACGUAGGGCGCAAGCGUUAUCCGGAAUUAUUGGGCGUAAAGAGCUCGUAGGCGGUUUGUCGCGUCUGCCGUGAAAGUCCGGGGCUCAACUCCGGAUCUGCGGUGGGUACGGGCAGACUAGAGUGAUGUAGGGGAGACUGGAAUUCCUGGUGUAGCGGUGAAAAUGCGCAGAUAUCAGGAGGAACACCGGUGGCGAAGGCGGGUCUCUGGGCCGAUACUGACGCUGAGGAGCGAAAAGCGUGGGGGAGCGAAACAGG